CUCCCGGUUGAUCCUGCCGGACCCGACUGCUAUCAGAGUGAGAUUAAGCCAUGCGAGUUAACGUAGCAAUACGUGGCGCACGGCUCAGUAACACGUAGUCAACAUGCCCAGAGGACGUGGAUAACCUCGGGAAACUGAGUCUAAACCGCGAUAAGUGAGGAUUUCUGGAAUGGUUCCUGACUAAAAUCUAUAUGGCCUCUGGAUUGGACUGCGGCCGAUCAGGCUGUUGGUGAGGUAAUGGCCCACCAAACCUGUAACCGGUACGGGCUCUGAGAGGAGGAGCCCGGAGAUGGGCACUGAGACAAGGGCCCAGGCCCUAUGGGGCGCAGCAGGCGCGAAACCUCUGCAAUAGGCGAAAGCCUGACAGGGUUACUCUGAGUGACUUUCGCUAAGAAAGUCUUUUGGCACCUCUAAAAAGGGUGCAGAAUAAGGGGUGGGCAAGUCUGGUGUCAGCCGCCGCGGUAAUACCAGCACCCCGAGUGGUCGGGACGAUUAUUGGGCCUAAAGCAUCCGUAGCCGGUUCUGCAAGUCCCCCGUUAAAUCCAGCUGCUCAACAGAUGGGCCGCGGAGGAUACUACAGAGCUAGGAGGCAGGAGAGGCAAGCGGUACUCAGUGGGUAGGGGUAAAAUCCGUUGAUCCAUUGAAGACCACCAGUGGCGAAGGCGGCUUGCCAGAAUGCGCUCGACGGUGAGGGAUGAAAGCUGGGGGAGCAAACCGGAUUAGAUACCCGGGUAGUCCCAGCCGUAAACGAUGCAGACUCGGUGAUGGGUUGGCUUCGCGCUAACCCAGUGCCGCAGGGAAGCCAUUAAGUCUGCCGCCUGGGUAGUACGGUCGCAAGACUGAAACUUAAAGGAUUGGGCGGGGGAGCA
rnacentral:rRNA from 1 species